UACGAAGGGGGCUAGCGUUGUUCGGAAUUACUGGGCGUAAAGCGCGCGCAGGCGGUCUUCCAAGUCAGUGGUGAAAGCCCGGAGCUCAACUCCGGAAUUGCCAUUGAAACUGUUGGACUUGAGGAUGAGAGAGGUGAGUGGAAUUCCCAGUGUAGAGGUGAAAUUCGCAGAUAUCAGGAAGAACACCCGUGGCGAAGGCGGCUCUCUGGGACGGUACUGACGCUGAGACGCGAAAGCGUGGGGAGCGAACAGG
rnacentral:rRNA from 1 species